GGGGAAGUAUACAAGUGGUUAAAGUUGGCAGUCUGUAAAACUGUCCCGAAAGGUUCAUUGGUUCGAAUCCAAUCUUCCCCACCA
rnacentral:tRNA from 1 species